AUUGCUCUGGAUUUUUAUUAGCCCUCUAGGCCUGCUAGUGUUGGACCUUCAAGAUCCUGUAUGCCUGGAGACUGUUCAGAGCAAGAUGCUUUACUGAGGCCUUGAGGUACGUGGAGGCCAUUGCAACGGUGCUGUUAGCCACGUCAGCUAGACCUGGCACGGCUAUGACCAGACUCCUGGAGCUUUGUGAUGCACUGCCUCAGAAGCUACCGGACUGGAUUGAGCCUACCUGGAUGAAAGACCUCAAGAGGUCGGCUAAACACCCGGCCCACGUGGACCUCAAUGAGGCUCUCAGCCUUAGCCAGAUCCUAUGCUGCCACCUGACAAUAAGGCUGUCACAGUCUAACACUUUCUAUAAGGGACUGUUACGACCCCCAGCGCCCCUGCAGACUGUGUAGUGGCCAUGCAUGGCCUGCAGGCAACAGUGGGGACGACGACGAUUGGUGGAUUGACCUGGGGAGGUGUGGGGGAUGAAAGGACCUGUGGACACCUGUCUCUCAGCACACCUCAUUCUAUACAUUCUAUACUCACACUUGCACAAUUCCUAACCACCCUCACACUGCUAACUCCAAACCAGACAGACAUCAAACCCCCCAGACAUGUUUCC